GGGUGCUUGAUCCUGUCCGGUUCAAGCAUUUAGUGAGAGCCAGAUAGAAGAAAGCCCCGAUAAGGUUAUUUAUUACCAUAAUCGAGGCUGCAAUUCUCUACUUAGCACUAGAAAUUGUGCCUCCUAAUAAGUUAGGAGUCAAGGAAAAUG
rnacentral:antisense_RNA from 13 species